CGCAGUGAAUUGCCGAGCCCGGGCCGGAACGGCCUGGGACGGGGGACCCAGAACCUGGGGCAAAUCCAGCCGAGCGGCUGGACGGAGAAUUUCGGCUCCGAGCCCGUCAGCUAACCUCGUAGGCAUCCGAGAGGCUUU
rnacentral:sRNA from 2 species